CAAGUGGCGGAAUGGUAGACGCAGGGGAUUCAAAAUCCCCCGCCGCGAGGCGUGCCGGUUCGAGUCCGGCCUUG
rnacentral:tRNA from 1 species